GGGGGGGGGGGGGGGGGGGGGGGGGGGGUCCCGGAGAGCAUCCCUGGGUGCGGGCAGCGGACACCCCCAAAAAAUCCAGCAUCUGUUCCUGGCCGCUCGGGACGCCGCUGCGCGGUGCCCCCCGCCCGAGCUGUCCGACCGUGCUCUUUACCUCCUGUCAGUCAGGGUGAACUUGCUCGCCUUGUUUGUGCUUCGGCGGGUCGGUUUUGACUUACCCCUGUGGUAUGUGGAAGCGCCGACUCCAAUAAACCCUUAACUCUUUCCCGUGCUGGCAUCAGGCUAGGCUUUGCCCGGUCCGGCUCCGCGCCCAUUUAAGGAAAAGCCGGCCCCGGGCUUGCCCGGUGCGAUGCACGCGUGGAGCCGCAGCCCCUCCGGGAGCGGCACCGACCCCGCGGCUGGGACAUGGCGCGGGGGCGCGGGGGCAGUGAUGUCCGCCCGCCUCAGGGCCGCCGUUGUCCCGCCGCCCGCUGCCGUCUCGUCCCGGUUCCUCUCCGCGGAGCCCGCUCCAUCCUCCGGCCCGUCUCGGUCCCCUGCUCCAGCCGCUCUCCAGCCGCUGGGCUUCGCACCUUCCCUGCCGCCGCGCCGCACCUGAGCCCGCCACCACCUCCCGCAGCUGCUUCGCUGGCGGGAUGUUCGGAGAGAAUCCGAGCGCCGGUUUUCCACCGGAGGGUGAUUCCCGGCGCUUUCCCCGACGAUGCCGUUUUGAUCGUCGUCCCUUCGCACCGUGCCAGCGGGAUUGCGCCCGGAUUAAGUCAACUCAGGGGAAGGGAAGAGCAUGGUUCAUACGUUCCCGGCCGCAGCCAUGGGCAGGAGCUGCCAUCCACACCUCGCUGA
rnacentral:lncRNA from 1 species